rnacentral:rRNA from 1 species
UACGUAGGGGGCGAGCGUUGUCCGGAGUUACUGGGCGUAAAACGCACGCAGGCGGUCUGCUAAGUUUGGAGUGACAGUUGGUGGCUUAACUGCCAAAGUGCUUCGAAAACUGACAGACUUGAGGGCUUCAGAGGGACACGGAAUUCCGGGUGGAGUGGUGGAAAUGCGUAGAGAUCCGGAGGAACACCAAAGGCGAAGGCAGUGGUCCUGGGGAGUACCUGACGCUCAGGUGCGAAAGCCAGGGGAGCGGAACGGG